GACGAACGCUGGCGGCGUGCCUAAUACAUGCAAGUUGAGCGCACAGAGGUGGUACUUGUACCUACUGGAUGAGCAGCGAACGGGUGAGUAACGCGUGGAGAAUCUGCCUUUGAGCGGGGGACAACAUUUGGAAACGAAUGCUAAUACCGCAUAAAAACUUUAACCACAAGUUUUAAUAUUGAAAGAUGCAAUUGCAUCACUCAAUAAUGAUACCCCGGUGUAUUUGCUAGGUGGUUAGGUAAACGCCCACCCAAGGCAUGGUACAUAACCGACCUUGCAGGGUGAUCGGCCAAAAUGGGACUGGGACACGGCCCAAACUUCUAACGGAGGCAGGCAGAGGGGAACUUUGGCAAUGGACGAAAGUCUGACCGAGCAACGCCGCGGUAGGGAAGAAGGUUUUCGGAUCGUAAAACUCUGUUGGUAGAGAAGAACGUUGGUGGGAGUGGAAAGCUCAUCAAGUGACGGUAACUACUCAGAAAGGGACGGCUAACUACGUG
rnacentral:rRNA from 1 species